rnacentral:misc_RNA from 1 species
AAAAAAAAAAAAAAAAAAAAACAAGAAAAAAACAAGAACAAUAAUAAACAAUAACAUAUAAAAUACAAUAACAUAUACACAUAUAAAAUAAAAAUAAAAUAAAUAUAAAUAAAUAAAAUAUAGAAAUAAAAUAUAUAGAAUAAGAAAAAAAAAAAUAGAUAAUUAGUCUGUCUAUAGUCUAUAAGAAAAGAGGAGAUCAUAUGAAAAAUGUAACCGAUUCUUUCGUUUCCUUGGGUCACUGGCCAUCCGCCGGGAGUUUCGGGUUUAAUACCGAUAUUUUAGCAACAAAUCUAAUAAAUCUAAGUGUAGUCCUUGGUGUAUUGAUUUUUUUUGGAAAGGGAGUGUUAAGUGAUUUAUUAGAUAAUCGAAAACAAAGGAUUUUGGAUACUAUUCGAAAUUCAGAAAAACUACGCGAGGGGGCUAUUGAACAGCUGGAAAAAGCCCGGGCCCGCUUACGGAAAGUGGAAAUAGAAGCAGAUCAGUUUCGAACGAAUGGAUAUUCUGAGAUAGAACGAGAAAAAUGGAAUUUGAUUAAUUCAACUUAUAAGACUUUGGAACAAUUAGAAAAUUACAAAAAUGAAACCAUUCAUUUUGAACAACAACGAACGAUUAAUCAAGUCCGACAACGGGUUUUCCAACAAGCCUUACAAGGAGCUCUAGGAACUCUGAAUAGUUGUUUGACCAACGAGUUGCAUUUACGUACCAUCAAUGCUAAUCUUGGCAUGUUUGGGGCGAUAAAAGAAAUAACUGAUUAGUCCUUCUACUGUAGGCAUUAUUUUUUUUUUUUUUUUUUUUA